AAUAACAGGUUCCUGUUCACCCCUCCAGACCAGGUAAAUAACAGGUUCCUGUUCACCCCUCCAGACCAGGUAAAUAACAGGUUCCUGUUCACCCCUCCAGACCAGGUAAAUAACAGGUUCCUGUUCACCCCUCCAGACCAGGUAAAUAACAGGUUCCUGUUCGCCCCUCCAGACCAGGUAAAUAACAGGUUCCUGUUCACCCCUCCAGACCAGGUAAAUAACAGGUUCCUGUUCACCCCUCCAGACCAGGUAAAUAACAGGUUCCUGUUCACCCCUCCAGACCAGGUAAAUAACAGGUUCCUGUUCGCCCCUCCAGACCAGGUAAAUAACAGGUUCCUGUUCACCCCUCCAGACCAGGUAAAUAACAGGUUCCUGUUCACCCCUCCAGACCAGGUAAAUAACAGGUUCCUGUUCACCCCUCCAGACCAGGUAAAUAACAGGUUCCUGUUCGCCCCUCCAGACCAGGUAAAUAACAGGUUCCUGUUCACCCCUCCAGACCAGGUAAAUAACAGGUUCCUGUUCGCCCCUCCAGACCAGGUAAAUAACAGGUUCCUGUUCGCCCCUCCAGACCAGGUAAAUAACAGGUUCCUGUUCACCCCUCCAGACCAGGUAAAUAACAGGUUCCUGUUCGCCCCUCCAGACCAGGUAAAUAACAGGUUCCUGUUCGCCCCUCCAGACCAGGUAAAUAACAGGUUCCUGUUCACCCCUCCAGACCAGGUAAAUAACAGGUUCCUGUUCACCCCGCCAGACCAAGCGAGAGGGGUUAGAGACUCUUGUGGCUCUUUGGAUGACUGGAAUUAUCGACAUGUCAGCCAAUUUCAUAUACAUUAUAUUAAUAUUAUAUUAAUGUUGCUAUUUCCACCUGUCCCUAGUUCAUGGCAUAUUUAUAGUAUUAUGGAUAAUAUUAUCUUCGCCAGGCCCUGUACAUAGCCAUCCAGUCCAUGGGGUUGAUCAGUAUUAUCUUCACCAGGCCCUGUACAUAGCCAUCCAGUCCAUGGGGUUGAUCGGUAUUAUCUUCACCAGGCCCUGUACAUAGCCAUCCAGUCCAUGGGGUUGAUCGGUAUUAUCUUCACCAGGCCCUGUACAUAGCCAUCCAGUCCAUGGGGUUGAUCGGUAUUAUCUUCACCAGGCCCUGUACAUAGCCAUCCAGUCCAUGGGGUUGAUCAGUAUUAUCUUCACCAGGCCCUGUACAUAGCCAUCCAGUCCAUGGGGUUGAUCGGUAUUAUCUUCACCAGGCCCUGUACA